AAAAACAUCGCCUCCUGCAAACUACAACGUAUAGGAGGUCUUACCUGCCCAGUGACAUAGUGUUAAACGGCCGCGGUAUUUUGACCGUGCUAAGGUAGCGCAAUCACUUGUUUUUUAAAUGAAGACCUGUAUGAAUGGUGAAACGAGGGCUUAACUGUCUCCCCUUUCUAGUCAAUGAAACUGAUCUGCUCGUGCAGAAGCGAGCAUAAAUAUACAAGACGAGAAGACCCUUUGGAGCUUUAGACAUAAAUCAACUGUGCUUAACCCCAAGUAAAAUGGGAUAAAACCAAACAUACACUGACCAAAGUCUUCGGUUGGGGCGACCAUGGGGAAAAACAAAACCCCCACGUGGAAUGGACCAUUCCCUAAACUAAGAGAGACAUCUCUAAGUCACAGAACAUCUGACCAUUUAGAUCCGGCCAACAAGCCGAUCAACGGACCAAGUUACCCUAGGGAUAACAGCGCAAUCCCCUUCAAGAGUCCAUAUCGACAAGGGGGUUUACGACCUCGAUGUUGGAUCAGGACAUCCUAAUGGCGCAGCCGCUAUUAAGGGUUCGUUUGUUCAACGAUUAAAGUCCUACGUGAUCUGAG
rnacentral:rRNA from 1 species